GGCUGGGUAGCUCAGACGGUUAGAGCGUGGGACUCAUAAGCCCGAGGUCGUGGGUUCGAUUCCCACCCCCGCCACCA
rnacentral:tRNA from 1 species